rnacentral:rRNA from 1 species
UACGGAGGGUGCGAGCGUUAAUCGGAAUUACUGGGCGUAAAGGGUGCGUAGGUGGUUUGAUAAGUUAUCUGUGAAAUACCUGGGCUUAACCUGGGAGGGUCAGAUAAGACUGUUGAGCUGGAGUAUGGGAGAGGGUAGUGGAAUUUCCGGUGUAGCGGUGAAAUGCGUAGAUAUCGGAAGGAACACCGGUGGCGAAGGCGGCUACCUGGCCUAAUACUGACACUGAGGCACGAAAGCGUGGGGAGCAAACAGG